AAAAUUAUUGUUUUAGAUAUUAAAAACGAUUAUCGCCUUUGAUUUAAGGAUAUAAAAACUCAAAGCAGACAAAAGGAAGUAUAACACAAACCAUCACAUAAGCCCAAGCGGCUGGGAAUUCCAUAUUAUAUUUCAAAAACGCCGCUCGACGUUUUUGACCUAAAAAUAAAUGUAGCUGAAAAUCAGCUGACAAGUCACGUGGUACAUGGUACCGUCAUUUAUUUUUGGCAUAGAAAUUACAUUAUUUCUAAAGAAAGAGAUUUAGCUUGUUGAGCAAAUAAUUAAUUUUCAUUGAAUAUUUUUGAUCAACCAAUAAAAUAUACUUCAUAUUUAAAUCAAUAUUUUUAUUGGAAAAUCACUUUUCACAAAUAUGAAUAUGCGGUCGAAAACUGAAAGCCAUCAGAAUUCAAGAUGGUUCAGACAAAAACAAGUGCUAGCGCUAAGAAAAGACUAAAAAAACAAGAGAUGCAAGGUACAGGUGUAAUAAAAGGGAAAGGAUACUAGACAUUGGUAUUCAGUGUGAUCGAUGGAGAAGAGUUAAAGAAGCUACUGGGAUUUAAAAGGACGAGAAAAUGAUGGAAAUAUUGAUCGAUGCAACUACAGUCUACUUCUGAACUAGAGUGCUUCAACAAUCAUCUUUUGAUGUAUGCUCCAAAGCGAAAUGCUUUCAGCUAUGCUGUUUAUAGAUGCAGGUGUCAGUUAGCAGCAAUAGAUUAUUCAAAACACUUGAAUCGUCCUGUUUUGUUGGACCAAGAAGGAAAUUAGAGGGGAAAGAGUGCACUCAAAAGCUGCUGGUAAUUGGAGCACAAGACCUAUGAAAAAACCCAAAGAGUAUACAUACAUAACCGGUUUGAUCACUGAAGUUACAAAUGAAUUCACCAUUGGCAAGAAAAGAAUAAGUGGCAAAUGUGAACAGCUGUCUGAAGACCCCAAAAGAAUUAGGUCAACUAUAGCCCCUGUCACCCGUCCACCUACAUCGAUACUUAGUGAUCAGCAUGUCUCUAGAUUGAGAAAAGCGAAAAAAAUGAAUUGUUGCCCAAGACGUGUUUGAUAUUCAUUUGAAAUUGAGGCAGAAGUUAGAUAACUAUUAAGUUUCACAUCUUUAGUGUUAAUAUAAUUUUAGAAGUGUUUUGAAAAUGUACAAUCUUACAUUAUGUUAUAAAUAAUGAAUGCUCUUGGUUGUACAAUGCAAUGACAUUUUUCAGGAAGUUUUAAUAUUAAAUUUAGCAUAAUUUAUUUUUUUUUAAAUAUAUUUUGUGCGAUUUUUAUCAAUACAUUUUUACACAUAUAAAGAACACAAUUUUUCUUACAAAAAGUUUCUUUUUUUGUUUGAUUAUCGAUACGUGUUUUUCAUUGUCUUCUUUAUAGCCUGUAUUUAAUAAACCAUUGUAGUCAAUGUC